rnacentral:lncRNA from 1 species
UUCAAUAUUAUUGAUAGAAGGGAGGACAGUAUUAUUGAUAGAAGGGAGGAUGGUACAAAUCAUCUUGAUUAACCUUUUCUAUUAACUUUGAAUAAUCAAUCUUCAAGCCACGCCUGAUGAUGGUUGCGUUUUUAUAAUUCCCAUCAUAAUUCCCAAUAGACAAAGUUUGAUUGUCAUAUAAUUCAACCCUAUAUGCUUCUUCUUCUAUGAGCUGCCUUGCUUCCUUCAUGAGCUGCCUCAUCCUGUUCUGAAAAAGCAUCAUAUAUGUGAGUGACUAAACAAAUUUCAAAUUCUCAGAAUGAAUUCUAAAAAUAGAAAUUAAUAAAGAAUUCAAAUAUUGUGAAACUUGAAUCAAAAGCAGUUGAACUUGCCUCGUAUGAUUCGUAUGAUUCUUCGCCGAAACAUAUUCUUCUACUUUGAGCUGACUUAUCUAAAGUUAAUACAUCAAACAUCAUCAUAAUAAAACAAUACAAGAAAAAAGAAUUGCAUUUACAUAAUAAAACGUGAAAGAAAAAAGAAUUGCAUAUUCACAUGGUUAUAAAAUCUAAAUGUAGAUAAUUAAUACAAUAUUCAGCAAUGUAAUUGUUUGGUUGCACAUUGUAACGUAAAAACCGUACCAAACAAAUAAAUUACUAAGAAUGACUUUUACAAACAAAACUAAAGAAUAAAAAAAUAAAAAUAAAAGAGGAAAUUAGGGUUUUACACAUUUGCGAUGUCGUGCAGUGUAGAGAAAAAGAGAAGGGAAUCUGAAAAGAAAUAUAAAGAUUAGAUAACCACCACAAUUAUGUGAAGAAGAAAACUAACCAGAGAAGAUAUCAGAAAAUCAUACGAAUGGAAUCAAGAAUGUGAGGUUUGGGAAUGAAUCAUCGUAAUUUAAUUAAAUGAACGUGGGUGUUCGGUGUGG